CACGUAGGGCGCAAGCGUUGUCCGGAAUUAUUGGGCGUAAAGAGCUCGUAGGCGGUCUGUUACGUCUGCUGUGAAAACCCAGGGCUUAACCCUGGGCUUGCAGUGGAUACGGGCAGACUAGAGGCAGGUAGGGGAGAAUGGAAUUCCCGGUGUAGCGGUGAAAUGCGCAGAUAUCGGGAGGAACACCGGUGGCGAAGGCGGUUCUCUGGGCCAUUACUGACGCUGAGGAGCGAAAGCGUGGGGAGCGAACAGG
rnacentral:rRNA from 1 species